rnacentral:rRNA from 1 species
AUGCUCCCCAUCGCCUCACAUGUUGUCGUCCAUCGUGCCUACCACACCACCACCUGCAGAUGGAGAAGACCUCGGCUUGCAGGUAGAGGAGGCCUCGACCUGCAGUUCUACAGUAGAUGUGUCCAGGAGGAGGGCACGGUGGAUCACAUCCUCAUACAUUGCGUCUAUGCCAGUCAGGUGUGGUUCCAAUGCUUCACCAAGGUUGAGAUCCCUUUGGAGCUGUUGCCACAUGGACAUGAAAGGGUGGAGGACUGGUGGGUAGCUUCGAGGAAGAGGGUACCGAAGGUACAGCGGAAGGACUAUGAUUCUUGUCACGGUGGUUUGUUGGAAUUUAUGGAGCAGAGGAAUAGUAUGGUUUUUGGUAGGAGCAACAUGUGUAAUGAACUAGAUACGGUCAGGGACAUUCUCAGGGAACGCUAA